ACGGCGUCGAGCGGCGGACGGGUGAGUAAUGCCUAGGAAAUUGCCCUGAUGUGGGGGAUAACCAUUGGAAACGAUGGCUAAUACCGCAUGAUGCCUACGGGCCAAAGAGGGGGACCUUCGGGCCUCUCGCGUCAGGAUAUGCCUAGGUGGGAUUAGCUAGUUGGUGAGGUAAGGGCUCACCAAGGCGACGAUCCCUAGCUGGUCUGAGAGGAUGAUCAGCCACACUGGAACUGAGACACGGUCCAGACUCCUACGGGAGGCAGCAGUGGGGAAUAUUGCACAAUGGGCGCAAGCCUGAUGCAGCCAUGCCGCGUGUGUGAAGAAGGCCUUCGGGUUGUAAAGCACUUUCAGUCGUGAGGAAGGUGGUGUAGUUAAUAGCUGCAUUAUUUGACGUUAGCGACAGAAGAAGCACCGGCUAACUCCGUGCCAGCAGCCGCGGUAAUACGGAGGGUGCGAGCGUUAAUCGGAAUUACUGGGCGUAAAGCGCAUGCAGGUGGUUUGUUAAGUCAGAUGUGAAAGCCCGGGGCUCAACCUCGGAAUAGCAUUUGAAACUGGCAGACUAGAGUACUGUAGAGGGGGGUAGAAUUUCAGGUGUAGCGGUGAAAUGCGUAGAGAUCUGAAGGAAUACCGGUGGCGAAGGCGGCCCCCUGGACAGAUACUGACACUCAGAUGCGAAAGCGUGGGGAGCAAACAGGAUUAGAUACCCUGGUAGUCCACGCCGUAAACGAUGUCUACUUGGAGGUUGUGGCCUUGAGCCGUGGCUUUCGGAGCUAACGCGUUAAGUAGACCGCCUGGGGAGUACGGUCGCAAGAUUAAAACUCAAAUGAAUUGACGGGGGCCCGCACAAGCGGUGGAGCAUGUGGUUUAAUUCGAUGCAACGCGAAGAACCUUACCUACUCUUGACAUCCAGAGAACUUUCCAGAGAUGGAUUGGUGCCUUCGGGAACUCUGAGACAGGUGCUGCAUGGCUGUCGUCAGCUCGUGUUGUGAAAUGUUGGGUUAAGUCCCGCAACGAGCGCAACCCUUAUCCUUGUUUGCCAGCGAGUAAUGUCGGGAACUCCAGGGAGACUGCCGGUGAUAAACCGGAGGAAGGUGGGGACGACGUCAAGUCAUCAUGGCCCUUACGAGUAGGGCUACACACGUGCUACAAUGGCGCAUACAGAGGGCGGCCAACUUGCGAAAGUGAGCGAAUCCCAAAAAGUGCGUCGUAGUCCGGAUUGGAGUCUGCAACUCGACUCCAUGAAGUCGGAAUCGCUAGUAAUCGUGGAUCAGAAUGCCACGGUGAAUACGUUCCCGGGCCUUGUACACACCGCCCGUCACACCAUGGGAGUGGGCUGCAAAAGAAGUAGGUAGUUUAAC
rnacentral:rRNA from 1 species